AGUGAACGCUGGCGGCGGGCCUAACACAUGCAAGUCGAACGGCAGCACAGUAAGAGUGUGCCUUUACGGGUAGCGAGUGGCGGGCGAGUAACGCAUACAUAGCCAACUUCUUUUUCGUGGGGGACAACGUAGGGCCACUUACACUACUACAGAAUAUAUUGAACCGGAGGAAGCAGUGGAUAUUGGCGGUUUGCGUGUCUGAUAGAGCUGAAUCCGCGUCGGAUUAGCUAGGUGGUAAGGUAACGGCCCACCAAGGCGACGAUGCGUAGCCGAUCUGAGAGGGUGAUCAGCCACACUGGAACUGAGACACGGUCCAGACUCCUACGGGAGGCAGCAGUGGGGAAUAUUCCACAAUGGGCGCAAGCCUGAUCCAGCCAUGCCGCGUGAGUGAAGAAGGCCUUCGGGUUGUAAAGCCCUUUUGUUGGGAAAGAACAGCAGCAGAUUAAUACCCCGCUGUUCUGACGGUACCCAAUCAGUAAGCACCGGCUAACUUCGUG
rnacentral:rRNA from 1 species